UACGGAGGGUGCAAGCGUUGUCCGGAUUUAUUGGGUUUAAAGGGUGCGUAGGCGGCCCGUUAAGUCAGUGGUGAAAGCCUCCAGCUCAACUGGAGAACUGCCAUUGAUACUGACGGGCUUGAGUACAGACGAGGUUGGCGGAAUCGAUUGUGUAGCGGUGAAAUGCAUAGAUACAAUCAAGAACUCCGAUUGCGUAGGCAGCUAACUAGGCUGUAACUGACGCUGAGGCACGAAAGCGUGGGGAGCGAACAGG
rnacentral:rRNA from 1 species